AUUGAACGCUGCGGCAGGCUUAACACAUGCAAGUCGAGCGAGCGGCGAAGGGUUGGGUAAUGCUUAGGAAUCUGCCUAUUGGUGGGGGACAACAUCUAGAACGGGUUGCUAUUCCCGCAUCCUAAUCGAUGAGCCUAAGUCGGCUUAGCGAGUUGGUGGGGUAAAGGCCUACAAAGGCGACGAUCUGUAGCGGGUCUGAGGGGAUGAUCCGCCACACUGGGACUGAGACACGGCCCAGACUCCUACGGGAGGCAGCAGUGGGGAAUAUUGGACAAUGGGGGGAACCCUGAUCCAGCCAUGCCGCGUGUGUGAAGAAGGCCUUAUGGUUGUAAAGCACUUUAAGCGAGGAGGCGUUACUCGCAGAAUAAGCACCGGCUAACUCUGUGCCAGCAGCCGCGGUAAUAC
rnacentral:rRNA from 1 species